AGCAGCCGCGGUAAUUCCAGCUCCAAUAGCGUAUAUUAAAGUUGCUGCAGUUAAAAAGCUCGUAGUUGAAUUUCGGGACUAAUAUGUCGGUCGUGCCUCGGUACGUACUGGCUUAUUGGUUUCUCCUUUCUGAAGAACCAUGAUGUCAUUUAUUUGGUGUCGUGGGGAAUCAGGACUGUUACUUUGAAAAAAUUUAGAGUGUUUAAAGCAGGCUCACGCUUGAAUACAUUAGCAUGGAAUAAUGAAAUAGGACGUUUGAUUCUAUUUUGUUGGUUUCUAGGAUCGACGUAAUGAUUAAUAGGGAUAGUUGGGGGCAUUAGUAUUCAAUUGUCAGAGGUGAAAUUCUUGGAUUUAUUGAAGACUAACUACUGCGAAAGCAUUUGCCAAGGAUGUUUUCAUUAAUCAAGAACGAAAGUUAGGGGAUCGAAGACGAUCAGAUACCGUCGUAGUCUUAACCAUAAACUAUGCCGACUAGGGAUCGGAUGAUGUUAAUUUUUUAAUGACCCAUUCGGCGCCUUAC
rnacentral:misc_RNA from 1 species